AACAUUCGUUUUCAACAUUCAACAUUCGUUUUCAACAUUCGAUUUUCAACUUUCAACAUUCGUUUUCAACAUUCAACAUUCGUUUUCAACAUUCAACAUUCGUUUUUCAACAUUCAACAUUCGUUUUCAACAUUCGAUUUUCAACUUUCAACAUUCGUUUUCAACAUUCAACAUUCGUUUUCAACAUUCAACAUUCGUUUUCAACAUUCGUUUUCAACAUUCGAUUUUCAACUUUCAACAUUCGAUUUCAACAUUCAACAUUCGUUUUCAACAUUCAACAUUCGUUUUCAACAUUCGAUUUUCAACUUUCAACAUUCGUUUUCAACAUUCAACAUUCGUUUUCAAUAUUCAACAUUCGUUUUCAACAUUCAACAUUCGUUUUCAACAUUCAACAUUCGUUUUCAACAUUCAACAUUCGUUUUCAACAUUC
rnacentral:lncRNA from 1 species